rnacentral:lncRNA from 1 species
GCAAUUCAGGUGGUUGUUUAUUUUCCAGGAUAUCGUCCACUUUAAGAUGCUUCCCUGAAUCUGGAGGAAUUAAAGAGCUAAAGGGACAUCAGGAACAGCUGGGUUGAGGCAAGCACGUAAAAAUGUUUUGAGAGGAAGUAGCCUUAACCAGAACCUUUCUAUUUUGCUACGUAGGUUACUUGACCUGUGUAUAAAGCUAAGGAGGAUGAGACAGGAGCUACUGUAGCUGGACUUCCACUUUCCUCACAGUUUUCUGUUUCCUUCAUCCUAUACUUCCUAGCUAACUCAGCCAAGGUAGUUGAUCUCUUCAAGCUUCAGUUUCCUCAUCACUAAAUUAGGAUGGGAAUAGCUACUUGUCAGGGCUCUGAUGAAGAGGCCAUGGAGCAAUGAAUGAAGAAGCAUUUAUUACAGCUCCUAUAGGUGGGAACCCUUUUCAGUAGUUUUCAACUUGAAUAAAACCAGAUGAGCAGCCCACAUUGGAGGGCUGCCUAGAAUUGAUAAUUAAGAUCAUGACAAAAACGAAGCCUUGUGGGAAGCAGGAGGCUAAGAAUGGAACCCUGAAGGAUGGCAUUAGUGGUGAGUUGGAAGGAAACAGGUCAAGCUUCUGGCAUCAAGGGAAAAGGGAGCUUUAAAAGGACAGACCAAUUUUUUAAACAUUCGAAUUAAAAAAAAACUACUAAGAAAAUAAAUUGCUGCAUCAAGUACCAAGAGAUUUUAGGAAGUAUGAGACACCCAGUUAAAACAAACACUUCAGGUCCCGCCGCUUUGGAUUUAUGCUUCUCAAACAUUAGCCAGUGACUUUGAUCAAAGAGACCAUUCGUAAAUAAAUUUUCUUUUU